AGAGUUUGAUCCUGGCUCAGGACGAACGCUGGCGGCGCGCCUAACACAUGCAAGUCGAACGAGCGAGAGAGAGCUUGCUUUCUCGAGCGAGUGGCGAACGGGUGAGUAACGCGUGAGGAACCUGCCUCAAAGAGGGGGACAACAGUUGGAAACGACUGCUAAUACCGCAUAAGCCCACGGCUCGGCAUCGAGCAGAGGGAAAAGGAGCAAUCCGCUUUGAGAUGGCCUCGCGUCCGAUUAGCUAGUUGGUGAGGUAACGGCCCACCAAGGCGACGAUCGGUAGCCGGACUGAGAGGUUGAACGGCCACAUUGGGACUGAGACACGGCCCAGACUCCUACGGGAGGCAGCAGUGGGGGAUAUUGCACAAUGGGGGAAACCCUGAUGCAGCGACGCCGCGUGGAGGAAGAAGGUCUUCGGAUUGUAAACUCCUGUUGUUGAGGAAGAUAAUGACGGUACUCAACAAGGAAGUGACGGCUAACUACGUGCCAGCAGCCGCGGUAAAACGUAGGUCACAAGCGUUGUCCGGAAUUACUGGGUGUAAAGGGAGCGCAGGCGGGAAGACAAGUUGGAAGUGAAAUCCAUGGGCUCAACCCAUGAACUGCUUUCAAAACUGUUUUUCUUGAGUAGUGCAGAGGUAGGCGGAAUUCCCGGUGUAGCGGUGGAAUGCGUAGAUAUCGGGAGGAACACCAGUGGCGAAGGCGGCCUACUGGGCACCAACUGACGCUGAGGCUCGAAAGUGUGGGUAGCAAACAGGAUUAGAUACCCUGGUAGUCCACACCGUAAACGAUGAUUACUAGGUGUUGGAGGAUUGACCCCUUCAGUGCCGCAGUUAACACAAUAAGUAAUCCACCUGGGGAGUACGACCGCAAGGUUGAAACUCAAAGGAAUUGACGGGGGCCCGCACAAGCAGUGGAGUAUGUGGUUUAAUUCGAAGCAACGCGAAGAACCUUACCAGGUCUUGACAUCCGAUGCAUAGUGCAGAGAUGCAUGAAGUCCUUCGGGACAUCGAGACAGGUGGUGCAUGGUUGUCGUCAGCUCGUGUCGUGAGAUGUUGGGUUAAGU
rnacentral:rRNA from 1 species